rnacentral:lncRNA from 1 species
CUUUGUAAUAAUAACACUCAAAUUCAAAGAUUACGCACCUUCUAAAUCCAAAAUUUUUAUUAAUGUUGAAAUGGUGGUUUUUUCUUUCGAAGAAAAUAUGGCGAUCUUAAGAAAAAACAAAGUACACAAGAAAAUUAAUUUGAGUGCUUCUAAUAAUCCGGCUCGAUUGGACCAAAUUUUUAUGUGUGCGCAAAAAAAAUAAAAAUAAAAAGAUAAGAAAGACUCAUAUACCUGUAAUUUGCAACGAAACACAGUACCACUACCAAUAAUAUAUAUAGUAUAUAUUAUGUCAAAUAUCACAUUAGAAACGCCAUAAAAUUAUAUAUUCAUGAGUAAUACGCAAUCGAUAUUAUUAUGAUAUGUAUAAUUAUUGCAGAAGGAAACUUUUACCAUAAACCUGUAUUACUUUUAUAAAAACUACAAGUUACAAUUGUUCUUCAUCCAAUCAUAUCAAAUUAAAUAAACAUCAAACAACAUUGCACAGUGGGGCAGAAUUGAAAUUUUUUUGGAAAUAAAUCUGGCAUUUCUAAACGGCUGA